rnacentral:sRNA from 1 species
AUUUUUGUCAUAUUCCUUGAAUUUUAAGUAUACAACCUCCUUUUGUUAUUUUUUAUUUUUUAAAUUUUGGUAUUUUCAUUAUUAUAUUAUUUAAAAUGUUAUUAAACCUACACUUGAAGUAAAAUUAACCAACAUUUUUUGACUUUUUAGUAUCUUUUCAGGUUUCAGGAUAUAAAUGUAUUUAUUUCAAAUAAAUUGUACACUACAUAGUACAAAGUAGUAAUAACUCAAGGUCUAGAGUUAUAUUGCUGGAUUUAAAUCAGAGAUCUGCCAUUUAUCAGCUCUAUGACUUUAACCUCUCUGUCCACCUUUAAACUGAAGAUAAAGUAUAGUAAUCAUGUCCAUAGUGGUGUUGCAAGGAUGAAAUAAUAAUGUAUGGAAAGUCAUAGUAUAUUACGUGGCACUAAAAAUAUAAAUGUUGACUCGCUAUCAUCUUCAUCAUCAUAUUUUGACAUAGUUUAUAGAAUAGGCUUGUUCUUACAAAACUUGGAAAAAUCCUUUCAUUACCCAUUUGGCAGAAUGUUGUUCUUUGGUAAACUUUUUUGGUUUUCUUUUGUUUUUCACUGUUAUUUGUCUGUUAACUGGUUUUAUUUCUACCAGACUUGCUGUUUUAUAGUUUUAUGGGCAGUUAGCCAUAUUAUCCUUACUAAAAAUGUAUUUUUUCUGAUUAUUAAAACUUGGCAAUAUGAAAGAAUAUGAUUUCUUUAAUGUUCUAAACAGCCGUAGUGUCACCACUGACACUUAACUGUAUUUGGAACUCAGUGUAAAUGUAAAUAUAAUUUUAUACCCUGCUUUUCCCCUUAUACUAGUAAAGGAUUUUCUCAUGCUAUUAAAAAUUCUCUUUAAGGCUGCAUAACAUUUCAUCAUAUACCAAAAUUAAUUCUUAUCCUACUGAUAGGCCUUUAAGUGGUUUUCAAAAAAGAAUGUCAGCCUCCAUAAUGUUAAUUUUCUUCAAAAUCAGUUUUGUUUUGCUUUUUAUUUUUAGUAAGAGUUAGAGGUUUUAGUAAUUACAUCUAGAACUGUGUAUCCCAGCCUCAGUUUACAGAGCACUCACGUAUCUUUUAUGUUAUGAUUUGCAUUACUUUUUUUUCUUGAUAGAGACACAUUCUCACUGUGUCACCCAGGCUGGAAUGUAGUGGCGCAAUUAUAGCUUACUGUAACCUCAAACUCCUGGGCUUAUGUAAUUCUCCUACCUCAGCCUCCCAAGUAGCUAGGACUGCGAGCAUUCACCACCACACUCAGCUUUUUUUUUUUUUUUUUUCCUUUGAAGAGAACAGGUCUUGCUAUGUUGCCCAGGCUGCUCUCAAACUCCUGGCCUCAGAUGAUCCUGUCAUCUUGGCUUUCCAAAGUACUGGGAUUACAAGCAUGAGCCAUGGUACUCAGCCCAUUAUUAUUUUUUUUAAUUCUUGGAAAAUUUUUUAUUUUUAAUUUUUGUGGGUGAUUAUAAGGUAUAUAUGUAUGGGGUAUAUAAAAUAUUUUUGGGCCAGGCGCAGUGGCUCACGCCUGUAAUUCCAGCACCUUGGGAGGCCAAGGCGGGUGGAUCACGAGGUCAGGAGAUCAAGACCAUCCUGGCCAACACGGUGAAACCCUGUCUCUACUAAAAAUACAAAAAAUUUGCCCGGCAUGGUGGCGGGUGCCUGUAGUCCCAGCUAAUCGGGAGGCUGAGGCAGGAGAACGGUGUGAACCCAGGAGGCGGAGCUUGCAGUGAGCCGAGAUCAUGCCACUGCACCUCCAGCCUGGGGGACAGAGUGAGACUCCACCUCAAAAAAAAAAAAAAAGAUAUUUCUGAUACAGGCAUGAGAAGCAUAAUAAUUACAUUAUGGAAAAUGCAAUAUCCAUCCCCUCAAGCAUUUAUCCUUUGUGUUACAAACAAUUCAAUUAUACCCUUUUAGUUAUUUUAGAAUACACAAUUAAAUUAUUAUCCAUAGUCACCCUGUUGUGCUAUCAACUAGGUCUUAUUAAUUCUUUCUAACUACUUUUUGUACCCAUUAACCAUCCCCACUUCUCCCCAACCCCUCCACUACCCUUCCCAACCUCUGGUAACCAUCCUUCUACUCUCUAUCUCCAUGAGUUCAAUUGUUCUGAUUUUUAGCUCCAACAAAUAAGUGAGAACAUGCGAUGUUUGUCUUUCUGUGCCUGGCAUAUUUUAUUUAACAUGAUGAUCUCCAGUUCCAUGUUGUUGCAGAUUACAGGAUCUCAUUCUUUCUUAUGGCUGAAUAGUACUCCAUUGUGUGGUAUGUCUCUGUGCCAGACUGUCGUCGUGGGCUCUGUAGUCAUUCUUCUCUACUCUUCCAGAGCUUGUUAUAAUUUGGUGGUGGUCACCAUAUCUCAGGAUACAUUAGAAAGUCCAUUUAAUUAUGGCUGGGAUAAUCUUUCAGAUAAGGCUCAUGUAGAAGACAUAAGUGGAGAAGAAUAUAUAGUAUUUGGAAUGGUCCUCUUUCUGUGGGAACAUGUGCCAGCAUGGUCGGUGGUACUGUUUUUCCGGGCACAGAGAUUAAACCAGAAUUUGGCACCUGCUGGCAUGAUAAAUAGUCACAGUUAUAGUUCCAGAGCUUACUUUUUCGACAAUCCAAGACGAUAUGAUAGUGAUGAUGACCUGCCAAGACUGGGAAGUUCAAGAGAAGGAAGUUUACCAAAUUCGCAAAGUUUGGGCUGGUAUGGCACCAUGACUGGGUGCGGCAGCAGCAGUUACACAGUCACUCCCCACCUGAAUGGACCUAUGACAGAUACUGCUCCUUUGCUCUUUACUUGUAGUAAUUUAGAUUUGAACAAUCAUCAUAGCUUAUAUGUGACACCACAAAACUGACAGCAUCACCAAGUCAUGAUUCUUGAGUUGUUUUUCAUAAAUGUGUAUAUUCAAUGUGUUUAAAUUCCAUCUACAUAAACAUUCCAUUAUCUGUUGCAACUGAAAACAAAAUCUGGAAGUGUGGCUGUGUUUGGUAAAUAACACAGCUAUUAUUUUUGACCUCUUCAUAGUAAAAUGAAGUAAAAUGGAAAGUUUGGAGUAGGAGAAAAGAGAGAUUAGAUCUUAAGGCACUUGAUGGCCUCCAAAAAUCCUGACUUUGGAACAUCAAAUGCAUAUGUGCACUUUUAUCUUUGUUCUGAGUCACUGCAGUCCCCAAAGUCAUAUGCCAAUGUUCACACUGAAAUACUCUAUUGUACACCAAACUGGAAGGCAAUUUUCCUAUGAAAAUCAAAGCCAGUAUAUUCAUUGGUAUGCUCUAUACAGAUAUCUUAAUAAAAAUUUUAUAGUGUGAACAGUGCACAGAGUUAAGGCAUAAAAAUGUAUCAUUCUUUAUAAAAAUCUACUGAAAAUGUGUAAUCAUUGAAGACAGUUCUUUUAAGCAUGAUUUUAAAAUAGCGACUGAAAUUCAAUCAUUUUAAACAAAUGAUGGUAGUAAUCCAUUAGUUAUGGCCAGCAGUGUUCUUUGGAGAGCCACAAUAAUUUCAAGAGGAAAAUAUACCAGUGAAAAUUGUGUGGCUAUUUUGAGUAGAAUUGGUCAGUUGAUUAUUUUGUGUAAUUGAGAUAUAUGUAGUAGUUUAAGCAUGAUUCUUGAAGAAAGCAAUAGUGACUUUUGCAUAGGGAGAUUUUGGUAGAAACUUCUUGGGACUAAACAAGUUUAGAGAUGCAUUUAAGAAUUAUUCACAAAAUGUGUAAUUCUAAAUUAAAACAUAAAUAUAUUUUCAAAAGCAUUUGAUUUCUCUGAAGCAUGAUAUAGCUGGUCUUACCUAGUGAAUCAGGAUUGUCCUCAGGUAAAUGAAAUCAUGAUACAUUAUUGCAGUGAACUCAAGUGCAAUACUUUGUAAGACAUAUAAUUCCUAUGAUUUUCACAUUUUUAUAUCUUAUAUAUGGAAAAAGCCAAAUUAAAUUGAAUUCAAAUUAAUUCCAGCAUUAGACUAAAUGAGCAAACUUAAGUAAAUGUACAAACUAGGUAAGUAUAAAACCACAGGUUAACAAUAUUGGAGUACUUUUAGAAUUACAUUAAAACUGUCUUAAAUGUCCUAUCCCAAAUCUAAAAAAAAAGAAAAUGGUAGGCUGAGAUAAUACAGAAUUUUAAAAUGCACUUUGUACCAGUGUCUAUAUGGAAAGAAGUAGAUGCUGAAUACCUCAAGAUGCCAAGGGAACAAGCAACAUUGGGAAGUUGUCACAACAUGCUCAAAGACAAACUACGAUUGUCUGCUAUCUAUUUCUUCAGAACUGGAACUAAUACGACUAUCCUUUUCUGUUUUAUACUUUGAUUAGAAUGUUAUUUCCUCGCUUACUUAAAAUGUACUUCAACUUUUUAACAACUGAUACAAUAACUUCAUAAAAGUAUAACACUAGGUUGAAACCUUAAGGAAAAAUUGAAAUUGUUAAUGCUUUCGAUCUUUUGGGAGGCCAGUACACAGACAAAUAAAUUUCUUCUUUUUAUGAUACAAAAUGACUUUGUAUUCAAUCAGAAGCAUAUACUUAUGUUAUUUUGGGUUUGUUUAUAAUUCUCUCAUUGUAACCAAAUUAUUUUAAAAUGUAUAGUAUAAAAAGUUACCCGUGGUAUUAAGUGACAAAAGCGUACUUUUAUUACAACUUCAGUUGUUAGAUUUCUUCUCAGAAUGCCAACUGUUUAUUUUGCUAAUAAUGUUAGGCAUCUAAUCAUCUAGAGCUGUCUGAAAAGAUAUGUUGUCUUUGUUAAUCCUUGCGGUUCAAGGUGAUAAAGUUUUUCUAGUAAGGCUCCCCUCGAUAAUGUUCCUAUUUGACCAAACUAACAAAGAUUACUUUUUAAAAAUUUUUCAGAUAAAAUAACUUGGUUCUUUCUGCUGCAUUAGUUGAUUGUUCCAAAUUUGAGAUUUGUAAGUUUAUUCUUAUCCCUGACUAGGGUACCCAAAUUCUUGCAUUUGUCUCCUUAUACACAUCUAACAUAUCACCAAAGACAAAUAAAGAUACACUCUGGCCCAAUCUUUGCUUAAAAAUUCCAAAGCACUAGGAGCACUUUAAGUUUGGUCUCGAAAGGAGUUGUUUAUAAAAUCAAAGGGCUACCGAUUCCCUGUUCGUCCUGCACUGAAGCACAUGAUGACAAUAUCAAACCUUCAUUUUUGUUCAUUAAAAAGUGAAUUUCAUUACUUAAGUGUGUAAUUCUAUAGUGAUUAGCAGUAUUUGUUUUCAUCAUUUCACUUGGGUGGCCAUUAAUUUUGAAACCUUUACCACUCAUUGUAGUUGGUUGUAGUUUUAUGGAAAAUGUAAUUUAUAGCUGAAGUGGCUUUUUUAUGCAUAGCUGCCUUUUUUAUUGUUUAACAGUGUUUCUCAGCUAUAUAAUCAGUUUCAAACUGGUUGUAAAAGUAUAGCUGUGGCCAAUGAAUGUAUUUAUUUGUUGUUUCACUAAAUUGUAACAAAACACUACUAUUAAAAAUAAAAGUGUUUGUGCUUUUA